rnacentral:misc_RNA from 1 species
GGAAAGCUCACCGACGACACUGAACAGCGCCGGCGAUGUAGACAAGGCAGUUGGGCAGAGGGCCUUGCCUCCUUCAGUUCAAUUACAACAGCCAAAGCGAUUGCACAGUAAACGACGACGAUGUGUGUGAGAGAACGACAAUGGUGAUCGGAAGUGACGAAAAAACCGACGGCGACAGUGAGAGAAAACGCCAAUGGGAAUUGGAAGGCUGAAAUCGAUGAUUAGAGAGAGUGUUUUUAUUGAUCGAAAAGUUAUAAUGAAC